AAAGAAGCCGGGAAGUUCUCAGCUGUCAGUGAGGGCCAGGGGGAUCCCCCAGGGGGCCCGGCCCCCACCGUCCUGGCCCCCAUGCCGUUGGCAGAGGUGGAGCUGAAAUGGGAAAUGGAGAAAGAGGAGAAGAGAUUGCUCUGGGAACAGCUGCAAGGCUUAGAGAGCUCAAAGCAGGCCGAAACAUCCAGGCUGCAGGAGGAACUUGCUAAGCUCUCCGAGAAACUGAAAAAAAAACAAGAAAGUUUUUGCCGUCUGCAGACAGAAAAGGAGACUCUGUUUAAUGACAGCAGGAACAAGAUUGAGGAAUUACAACAACGGAAGGAAGCUGAUCACAAAGCCCAGUUGGCUCGAACCCAGAAGCUGCAACAGGAACUUGAGGCUGCCAAUCAGGUGAUGGGGACUGGGUUCUGACAUCCCUGGGGUAGGGGCCAGGACUGGGAGCCUGGAGAGGUCUGAGGUCCAUGGAGGCUGGCUGGGGAGUCUGAGAUUUCCUGUGUUGGAAAUGGGUUCUGGGGCCC
rnacentral:lncRNA from 1 species